rnacentral:misc_RNA from 1 species
CAACCCUUGGGCCCCUGCCGCCCAGCGUUGGGAGGCCGCGCCUCACCGCGCGCCUCCCCAAAGUCAGUGGCGGGGCCGGCUCGCGCUCCAGACGUAGUAGAUCUCUAUCUCGCCUGCAGCGCCCGCCGGCCUCCCGCCGUAAAACACCCCACGUCAAAA